rnacentral:rRNA from 1 species
GACAGAGGGUGCAAACGUUGCUCGGAAUUACUGGGCGUAAAGGGCUUGUAGGUGGCCAACUAAGUCAGACGUGAAAUCCCUCGGCUUAACCGGGGAACUGCGUCUGAUACUGGAUGGCUUGAGUGUGGGAGAGGGAUGCGGAAUUCCAGGUGUAGCGGUGAAAUGCGUAGAUAUCAGGAGGAACCCCAGAGGCGAAGGCGGCGCCCUGGCUCGCAACUGACGCUCAGACACGACAGCAUGGGGAGCGAACGGG